rnacentral:pre_miRNA from 14 species
CCCGCUGGUGCUCACGCGUGGUACUUGGAGAGAGGCUGGCCAUGGUGAAUUCGAUUCAUCAAAGCGAGUCAUACACGGCUCUCCUCUCUUCUAGUGUCAGACUCUGCCUCAGAGGGCUU